AUCCGGUUCCUGUCGGCCUGCUUGAUUCUUCCCUGGGUUGAAGUGGAAGCCAAAAGCACCUUCUGAAAGCACUGUGAUUUCAGGGAUUGAGCAGAGCUCCACCACCAGUUCACACAGGCAUUGAGAAGAAAAUCAAGAAACAUUCUCAUGUGGGGAAUUAUCGAAUAGAUCAAGCUCAGUUCCAUAUUUCUUCUCAAUCCCUCCUUGAUUCCUACACACCCAACUUUGUGUGUUCUUUUUCCUCUAAAACCAUGAAGAAGACAAUGAUGAUGAGAAGAAGGGGAAGAAGAGUAGGAAAUGGGGCAGCAGGAGGA